rnacentral:rRNA from 1 species
CCUACGGGAGGCAGCAGUGGGGAAUAUUGGACAAUGGGGGGAACCCUGAUCCAGCCAUGCCGCGUGUGUGAAGAAGGCCCUCGGGUUGUAAAGCACUUUCAGUGAGGAAGAACGCCUGGUGGUUAAUACCCAUCAGGAAAGACAUCACUCACAGAAGAAGCACCGGCUAACUCCGUGCCAGCAGCCGCGGUAAUACGGAGGGUGCGAGCGUUAAUCGGAAUUACUGGGCGUAAAGCGCGCGUAGGUGGCUUGAUAAGCCGGUUGUGAAAGCCCCGGGCUCAACCUGGGAACGGCAUCCGGAACUGUCAAGCUAGAGUGCAGGAGAGGAAGGUAGAAUUCCCGGUGUAGCGGUGAAAUGCGUAGAGAGCGGGAGGAAUACCAGUGGCGAAGGCGGCCUUCUGGACUGACACUGACACUGAGGUGCGAAAGCGUGGGUAGCAAACAGGAUUAGAUACCCUGGUAGUC